rnacentral:tRNA from 1 species
AGUCUUAUAGUUAAACUUAUAACCUAAAAUUGCAAAUUUUAAAUUCAGCUUGUUACCUGUUAGACUU